rnacentral:rRNA from 1 species
AUUGAACGCUGGCGGCAUGCUUUACACAUGCAAGUCGAACGGUAACAGGCCGCAAGGUGCUGACGAGUGGCGAACGGGUGAGUAAUGCAUCGGAACGUGCCCAGUCGUGGGGGAUAACGCAGCGAAAGCUGCGCUAAUACCGCAUACGCUCUAUGGAUGAAAGCGGGGGACCGAAAGGCCUCGCGCGAUUGGAGCGGCCGAUGUCAGAUUAGGUAGUUGGUGGGGUAAAGGCUCACCAAGCCAACGAUCUGUAGCUGGUCUGAGAGGACGACCAGCCACACUGGGACUGAGACACGGCCCAGACUCCUACGGGAGGCAGCAGUGGGGAAUUUUGGACAAUGGGCGCAAGCCUGAUCCAGCAAUGCCGCGUGCAGGAAGAAGGCCUUCGGGUUGUAAACUGCUUUUGUACGGAACGAAACGGUCCGGGUUAAUACCCUGGGCUAAUGACGGUACCGUAAGAAUAAGCACCGGCUAACUACGUGCCAGCAGCCGCGGUAACAC